CCUCACAGCUGCAUCAGGCGCCGACGGCGGUGCUGCUCUUGCCAAAUAGAGAUUAUGGGUAUCUCGGAUGGCGUCACUAUGAAGAUGAAGCCCACGGCGAUCGAGGUCUAAAGAUUGGGCGGCGAGCCCUUACUCACCAUCAAGGUCAGCUGUAAACUAGCUCGUAGCCGACGAGUCCACCGGCAAGAAGAAGCUCAAGGUCGAAGCUUGGUCUCUAUCAGGCAAGAGUAUCGCAGCCGUCGGCGCUUAAUUGAAGCGAGAGGAUGGACGACGGCACCUAAUCCGCACCUAUACAAAAUCAUAGUAUCAUAUAUAGGCCGGCUAACUAUCAAUCUGUGUUAGAUAGCUAUGAACAUCAAAACUUCAGGAGGCCUAGGGUCAUAACUCUUUCAUUAGAUUUAGAAAGAUGUUGUAGUUUCAACUGAGCAAUCAGUCACAGUCAAUACUAGACUAAGCUAUUAA
rnacentral:lncRNA from 1 species